rnacentral:rRNA from 1 species
UGCUUAACACAUGCAAGUCGAACGAUGAAGCUGGAGCUUGCUCCGGUGGAUUAGUGGCGAACGGGUGAGUAACACGUGAGCAAUCUGCCCUUGACUCUGGGAUAACUGCGGGAAACUGUAGCUAAUACCGGAUACGACACCUUGGGGCAUCCCAGGGUGUGGAAAGAAUUUCGGUCAAGGAUGAGCUCGCGGCCUAUCAGCUAGUUGGUGAGGUAAUGGCUCACCAAGGCGACGACGGGUAGCCGGCCUGAGAGGGUGACCGGCCACACUGGAACUGAGACACGGUCCAGACUCCUACGGGAGGCAGCAGUGGGGAAUAUUGCACAAUGGGCGAAAGCCUGAUGCAGCAACGCCGCGUGAGGGAUGAAGGCCUUCGGGUUGUAAACCUC